GUGUGUGUGUGUGUGUGUGCGUGUGUGUGUGUGUGUGUGAGAAACAGUUUGGGGGGGUGCUAGUGGUUGUUAUGGUAACCGGCCCAGUAUUCCGAAAUCGUCAUGGUUAUGACAUCACAUUAUCAUACGACCGCCCACAUUUUCCGCAUCACUCACUUAUUCAUUCAGAGCUCAUUAUAAUAUGUAAGUGUUAAAGGUACAGUAACGUGUGAACGGAUGAGUCUGCUAGGAGCCGCUGGUUAUUUCUGCCAGCUGAGUGAUUUCUACCACCGACCCCCUUGCUUUCAGCGCAUCAGAUCGCUGGCCCUCUCUCACGCACACACUGCAGCGCCACACGCAGGUCAGUUUGAGUUCAGCACGGACUCAGAGAGGUUAACGUGUCGAGGCAGACGCUCAGAGAGGGCAUCAUGGGCCACUGAAGCUCUGGGGCUGGGGCUUAUUACCCCGCCCAGCCCCAGUUCACGCCCCCUGUUGCCCCGCCGACUGUCAUCAUGAACCCCGCCCCCCAGCAGCAACAGGCCCCGCCCCCUCAACAGCAGCAAGCUCCGCCCAGACGGGAACGCAAGCAGAUCAGGAUCAGAGACCUAAUCAGGGGAGGUCGUGACAUCACAGAAGAGAUCAUGUCAGGAGGUGGC